rnacentral:rRNA from 1 species
GUGCCAGCAGCCGCGGUAAUACGUAGGUGGCAAGCGUUAUCCGGAAUUAUUGGGCGUAAAGCGCGCGCAGGUGGUUUCUUAAGUCUGAUGUGAAAGCCCACGGCUCAACCGUGGAGGGUCAUUGGAAACUGGGAGACUUGAGUGCAGAAGAGGAAAGUGGAAUUCCAUGUGUAGCGGUGAAAUGCGUAGAGAUAUGGAGGACCACCAGGUGGCGAAGGCGACUUUUCUGGUCUGUAACUGACACUGGAGGCGCGAAAGCGUGGGGAAGCAAACAGGAUUAGAUACCCUGUUAGUCC